UCGAAAAAGAAGGAGAGAGGAGACAAAUAAAAAGAUUUCAAAUAAAAACGAAACGAUCACUUUUUGGGACGUUGAUGCACGAAAUAAAAUCACAAAAAUGUAGUCAUCGUCAUGUCAACUUUAUUGUCGCAGCAUGCUCUCCACUCCAUGCUGUUUGUCAGGUAAAGACUAGGAAUAAAAAUGAGAUGACUAUGGGAGCUUAAAUUGAAGAGUUAAACUUGUUCAAAAUUUGGGGCCUGAGCCAGCCAUCGUUACAGCAAAGUUUUCCUUGUGCUGGACCUCCAGUCAUACGAUUUGACUUUUGACCUCCUGCCAUCAGCAACAAUCACAGUAUCAUCACUUAGAUAAACAGCAUCCGGUUUAAUUGGAGAAACUACCAGUAUCGACCGA